rnacentral:rRNA from 1 species
GACGUAGGGGGCCAGCGUUGUUCGGAAUUACUGGGUGUAAAGGGUUCGUAGGCGGUGCGGCAAGUUGGGAGUGAAAUCUCUGGGCUUAACCCAGAGGCUGCUUCCAAAACUGCUGUGCUUGAGUGUGGGAGAGGCGCGUGGAAUUGCAGGUGUAGCGGUGAAAUGCGUAGAGACCGGGAAGAACACCAGUGGCGAAGGCGGCUACCUGGACAGGUACUGACGCUGAAGCGCGAAAGCUAGGGGAGCAAACAGG